CUACGGGGGGCUGCAGUAAGGAAUAUUGCGCAAUGGAGGCAACUCUGACGCAGCCAUGCCGCGUGCAGGAAGAAGGCCUUAUGGGUCGUAAACUGCUUUUAUUUAGGAAUAAACCCCCGAACGUGUUCGGGGCUGAAGGUACUAAACGAAUAAGCACCGGCUAACUCCGUGCCAGCAGCCGCGGUAAUACGGAGGGUGCAAGCGUUAUCCGGAUUUAUUGGGUUUAAAGGGUGCGCAGGCGGGCUAUUAAGUCAGUGGUGAAAUCCCGGGGCUCAACUCCGGAACUGCCAUUGAUACUGAUAGUCUUGAGUUUGGUUGAAGUGGGCGGAAUGUAGCAUGUAGCGGUGAAAUGCAUAGAUAUGCUACAGAACACCAAUCGCGAAGGCAGCUCACUAAGCCAAAACUGACGCUCAUGCACGAAAGCGUGGGGAUCAAACAGGAUUAGAUACCCGUGUAGUC
rnacentral:rRNA from 1 species